rnacentral:misc_RNA from 1 species
GAUGAAGAACGUAGCGAAAUGCGAUAACUAAUGUGAAUUGCAGAAUUCAGUGAAUCAUCGAGUCUUUGAACGCACAUUGCGCCCCCUGGUAUUCCGGGGGGCAUGCCUGUCCGAGCGUCAUUGCUGCCCUCAAGCACGGCUUGUGUGUUGGGCCUCCGUCCUCCUCCCGGGGGACGGGCCCGAAAGGCAGCGGCGGCACCGCGUCCGGUCCUCGAGCGUAUGGGGCUUCGUCACCCGCUCUUGUAGGCCCGGCCGGCGCUUGCCGACACAUCAAUCUUUUUUCCAGGUUGACCUCGGAUCAGGUAGGGAUACCCGCUGAACUUAAGCAUAUCAAUAGCGGAGGA